rnacentral:rRNA from 1 species
UGGGGAAUAUUGGACAAUGGGCGCAAGCCUGAUCCAGCCAUACCGCGUGGGUGAAGAAGGCCUUCGGGUUGUAAAGCCCUUUUGUUGGGAAAGAAAAGCAUUCGGUUAAUACCCGAUUGUUCUGACGGUACCCAAAGAAUAAGCACCGGCUAACUUCGUGCCAGCAGCCGCGGUAAUACGAAGGGUGCAAGCGUUACUCGGAAUUACUGGGCGUAAAGCGUGCGUAGGUGGUUGUUUAAGUCUGUCGUGAAAGCCCUGGGCUCAACCUGGGAACUGCGAUGGAAACUGGGCGACUAGAGUGUGGCAGAGGGUAGUGGAAUUCCUGGUGUAGCAGUGAAAUGCGUAGAGAUCAGGAGGAACAUCCGUGGCGAAGGCGACUGCCUGGGCCAACACUGACACUGAGGCACGAAAGCGUGGGGAGCAAACAGGAUUAGAUACCCUGGUAGUCCACGCCCUAAACGAUGCGAACUGGAUGUUGGGUGCAAUUUGGCACGCAGUAUCGAAGCUAACGCGUUAAGUUCGCCGCCUGGGGAGUACGGUCACAAGACUGAAACUCAAAGGAAUUGACGGGGUCAUAGC